CCUACGGGAGGCAGCAGUGAGGAAUAUUGGUCAAUGGCCGCAAGGCUGAACCAGCCAAGUCGCGUGAGGGAUGACGGUCCUAUGGAUUGUAAACCUCUUUUGUCAGGGAGCAAAGGGCGCCACGUGUGGCGCUUUGCGAGUACCUGAAGAAAAAGCAUCGGCUAACUCCGUGCCAGCAGCCGCGGUAAUACGGAGGAUGCGAGCGUUAUCCGGAUUUAUUGGGUUUAAAGGGUGCGCAGGCGGAAUGUCAAGUCAGCGGUAAAAUUUCGGGGCUCAACCCCGUCGUGCCGUUGAAACUGGCGUUCUUGAGUGAGCGAGAGGUAUGCGGAAUGCGUGGUGUAGCGGUGAAAUGCAUAGAUAUCACGCAGAACUCCGAUUGCGAAGGCAGCAUACCGGCGCUCAACUGACGCUCAUGCACGAAAGCGUGGGUAUCGAACAGGAUUAGAUACCCUAGUAGUC
rnacentral:rRNA from 1 species